UACAGAGGAGGCAAGCGUUGUUCGGAAUCACUGGGCUUAAAGCGCGUGUAGGCGGCGCGGCAAGUGUUCUGUGAAAUCCCACGGCUCACCCGUGGAACUGCAGGGCAUACUGCCGUGCUUGAGGCAGGUAGGGGCCACUGGAACUCUCGGUGGAACGGUGAAAUGUGUAGAUAUCGAGAGGAACGCCCGAGGCGAAAGCGGGUGGCUAGGCCUGUCCUGACGCUGAGACGCGAAAGCGUGGGGAGCAAACGGG
rnacentral:rRNA from 1 species